AUACGUAGGUGACAAGCGUUAUCCGGAUUUACUGGGCGUAAAGGGCGUGUAGGCGGUCUUGCAAGUCAGAAGUGAAAUUCCUGAGCUCAACUCGGGCGCUGCUUCUGAAACUGCAGGACUUGAGUGCUGGAGGGGAUAGCGGAAUUCCUAGUGGAGCGGUAAAAUGCGCAGAUAUUAGGAAGAACACCGGUGGCGAAGGCGGCUAUCUGGACAGUAACUGACGCUGAGGCGCCAAAGCGUGGGGAGCAAACAGGAUUAGAUCCCCUGGUAGUCCACGCCGUAAACGAUGAAUACUAGGUGUAGGGGGUAUCGACUCCCUCUGUGCCGCAGUUAACACAAUAAGUAUUCCGCCUGGGGAGUACGGCCGCAAGGUUGAAACUCAAAUGAAUUGACGGGG
rnacentral:rRNA from 1 species